UACAGAGGUCCCAAGCGUUGUUCGGAUUCACUGGGCGUAAAGGGUGCGUAGGUGGUGAGGUAAGUCGGAUGUGAAAUCUCCGGGCUUAACCCGGAAAUGGCAUUGGAAACUACCUUGCUAGAGGAUUUGAGGGGGGAUUGGAAUACUUGGUGUAGCAGUGAAAUGCGUAGAUAUCAAGUGGAACACCAGUGGCGAAGGCGAAUCCCUGGAAAAUACCUGACACUGAGGCACGAAAGCUAGGGGAGCAAACAGG
rnacentral:rRNA from 1 species